UACCCUGUUGAGUGUGAUGUAUCUCCGAUACUGUCAUUUCUCCAGGAGCGUCUAGAAAAGGGUCUCACCCCUUCCACACUCAAAGUUUACGUAGCAGCCAUUGCAGCAUUUCAUGCUCCUAUUGCUGGCCAAUCAGUGGGUCGAAACAGCCUCAUUGUGCGUUUCCUGAGAGGUGCUAGGCGGUUGAAGCCCCCACGUCCUCUCACCGUUCCCACUUGGAACCUUCACACGGUCCUUGGAGCACUCAAAGGACCUCCCUUUGAACCGCUGUGGUCAGCUGACCUUCAGCCCCUAACGCUCAAAACCGCUCUGCUACUUGCUCUAGCAUCGGUCAAGCGUGUUGCCGAUUUGCAGGCCCUCUCGGUGAGCCCUGCAUGCCUUGAGUUUGGGCCCAAUGACUCUAAGGUCAUUUUAAAACCCAGGCAUGGCUACCUACCUAAAGUGCUCUCGACGCCAUUCAGAGCACAGGUAAUUUCCCUCUCAGCUCUGCCUCCGUUGUCAGGUGAGCGAGAGCUGGAUUUACUCUGCCCAGUGAGGGCUUUGAGAAUUUACAUUGAGCGGUCGCAGCCGUUCAGGCAAUCUGACCAGCUUUUUGUCUGCUUUGGUGACCGCACCAAAGGGUCUUCGGUCUCAAAGCAACGCCUCUCGCGUUGGAUAGUUGAAGCUAUCGCUCUAUGUUACUCCUCUAUGGGCCUUGAGUGCACCAUAGGAGUUAGAGCCCACUCUACUAGAGGGAUGGCCUCUUCAUGGGCCUGGUCUAGUGGUGUCUCUAUCAAGGACAUCUGUGAGGCGGCCGGCUGGUCCUCGCCGUCCACUUUUGUCAGGUUCUAUAACUUGGAUAUCCCGACCUUGCAUGCUCGGGUUCUUUCGGUUUGAUACGACGGCCUCUAGCAGACUCUGUCAUCAUACCACCUCCAGGGAGCUAGCUCCCUCUCAGCAGUGUAGCGUCAAGGGUUCGAUGGCUCCGGCCCUCUCACUUAUCCUCUGGACCCCAGGGUGUUCAAGUUAAGUCUUGUCGUUCCCUACCGUGGCACGGGGUGGUUGAAUUCGUUUCCCAUACGCAGUAUGAGUGAAGUAUCGAAAGGGAACGUACUCGGUUACGAACGUAACCUCGGUUCCCUGAGAUACGGAACGAGUACUGCGUUAUAUGCCGUGCCACGAGGCUGCGGGUUCAGUGUCGUCGCUUCAGUCGUAUGACCUGAUUUCCUCUGGCGAUUGCCUGCUUAUAUAGCCAUUCGCCCCGCCCAUUUUGGCGGGCUUUGGCGCACUGCAUCGCCACAGGCUCGCGCAGCUACGCAGCACUGUCAUUGGUUU
rnacentral:lncRNA from 1 species